rnacentral:rRNA from 1 species
AGCGAACGCUGGCGGCAGGCCUAACACAUGCAAGUCGAACGGAUCCUUCGGGAUUAGUGGCGGACGGGUGAGUAACACGUGGGAACGUGCCCUUUGGUUCGGAACAACUCAGGGAAACUUGAGCUAAUACCGGAUGUGCCCUUCGGGGGAAAGAUUUAUUGCCAUUGGAGCGGCCCGCGUCUGAUUAGCUAGUUGGUGAGGUAACGGCCCACCAAGGCGACGAUCAGUAGCUGGUCUGAGAGGAUGAUCAGCCACACUGGGACUGAGACACGGCCCAGACUCCUACGGGAGGCAGCAGUGGGGAAUCUUGCGCAAUGGGCGAAAGCCUGACGCAGCCAUGCCGCGUGAAUGAUGAAGGUCUUAGGAUUGUAAAAUUCUUUCAGCGGGGACGAUAAUGACGGUACCCGCAGAAGAAGCUCCGGCUAACUUCGUG